rnacentral:rRNA from 1 species
CUGACGGAGCGACGCCGCGUGAUGGAUGAAGUCCCUCUGGGACGUAAACAUCUUUUAUGAGGGAGAAAGUUUAUUGAUAGUACCUCAAGAAUAAGGGGUUGCUAAACUCGUGCCAGCAGCAGCGGUAAUACGAGUGCCCCAAGCGUUAUCCGGAAUCAUUGGGCGUAAAGGGUGUGUAGGUGGUCCGAUUAGUCAUUCGUCAAAACCCAGGGCUCAACCUUGGAUCUGCGAUUGAAACGGUCGAACUAGAGGAUGAGAGGGGUGAAUGGAACUCAUGGAGUAGGGGUGAAAUCCGUUGAUAUCAUGGGGAACACCAAAAGCGAAGGCAGUUCACUGGCGCAUUCCUGACACUGAAACACGAAAGCGUGGGUAGCGAAUGGGAUUAGAUACCCUAGUAGUCCAC